rnacentral:rRNA from 1 species
GAUCCUGGCUCAGGAUGAACGCUAGCUACAGGCUUAACACAUGCAAGUCGAGGGGCAGCAUUUCAGUUUGCUUGCAAACUGGAGAUGGCGACCGGCGCGACGGGUGAGUAACACGUAUCCAACCUGCCGAUAACUCGGGGGAUAGCCUUUCGAAAGAAAGAUUAAUACCCGAUGGUAUAAUCAGACCGCAUGGUCUUGUUAUUAAAGAAUUUCGGUUAUCGAUGGGGAGUGCGUUCCAUUAGG